GCACUUCCCAGUCUCUGUCUUACUGGGCUUGGGUAGGCCCUGCUACUCUACUCUGGGAUUUAAGUUUAACAACUGCAGAAACUUAGCAAAACAAAAAACAAACAAAAACAUGAAAGCAAAAGAAGAAUAGAAGAUAUAAUCUGACUCAAUUAUGAAUAAACAUCACAAUAUGUAACUACAGGAAAACACAGAGAGAAUAUGGCCUAUACACUUAAUAGAAAACAUGAAUUUUGUGAAUAAUAUCCAUUUUAAGAAGACUAUUUUCACUUCACAACUGUGAAACUCCUGAUGAAAGAUUUCAGCUUGAAGAGAUCCCACUCAAAUGUCAGAUGGGGAAAAUUUCUGUGAAAUGAACAAAUAACCAG
rnacentral:lncRNA from 1 species